UACGUAGGGGGCAAGCGUUGUCCGGAAUCAUUGGGCGUAAAGAGCGCGUAGGCGGUCCGAUAAGUCGGCUGUGAAAGUCCAGGGCUCAACCCUGGAAAGCCGGCCGAUACUGUCGGACUAGAGUCCGGAAGAGGCAAGUGGAAUUCCCGGUGUAGCGGUGAAAUGCGCAGAUAUCAGGAGGAACACCUAUUGCGAAGGCAGCUCGCUGGGACGUAACUGACGCUGAGACGCGAAAGCGUGGGGAGCAAACAGG
rnacentral:rRNA from 1 species